UGGGGAAUAUUGCACAAUGGGGGAAACCCUGAUGCAGCGACGCCGCGUGAAGGAAGAAGUAUCUCGGUAUGUAAACUUCUAUCAGCAGGGAAGAAAAUGACGGUACCUGACUAAGAAGCCCCGGCUAACUACGUGCCAGCAGCCGCGGUAAUACGUAGGGGGCAAGCGUUAUCCGGAUUUACUGGGUGUAAAGGGAGCGUAGACGGAAGAGCAAGUCUGAUGUGAAAGGCUGGGGCUUAACCCCAGGACUGCAUUGGAAACUGUUUUUCUAGAGUGCCGGAGA
rnacentral:rRNA from 1 species